UCGAAGGAGUGGCGAACGGGUGAGUAAUACAUAAGCAACCUACCCACGAAGACUGGGAUAAUCUCUGGAAACGGGGACUAAUACCGGAUAGGUAAUCGGAAGGCAUCUUCUGGUUAUUAAAGGUUAAAAACACUGGUGGAUGGGCUUAUGGCGCAUUAGUUAGUUGGUGAGGUAACGGCCCACCAAGACGAUGAUGCGUAGCCGGCCUGAGAGGGUGAACGGCCACAUUGGGACUGAUACACGGCCCCAGACUCCUACGGGAGGCAGCAGUC
rnacentral:rRNA from 1 species